GUGGGGAAUAUUGGACAAUGGGCGAAAGCCUGAUCCAGCCAUGCCGCGUGUGUGAAGAAGGUCUUCGGAUUGUAAAGCACUUUAAGUUGGGAGGAAGGGCAGUAAGUUAAUACCUUGCUGUUUUGACGUUACCGACAGAAUAAGCACCGGCUAACUUCGUGCCAGCCGCCGCGGUAAUACGAAGGGUGCAAGCGUUAAUCGGAAUUACUGGGCGUAAAGCGCGCGUAGGUGGGUUUGUAAGUUGGAGGUGAAAUCCCCGGGCUCAACCUGGGAACUGCCUCCAAAACUGCAUGACUAGAGUACGGUAGAGGGUAGUGGAAUUUCCUGUGUAGCGGUGAAAUGCGUAGAUAUAGGAAGGAACACCAGUGGCGAAGGCGACUACCUGGACUGAUACUGACACUGAGGUGCGAAAGCGUGGGGAGCAAACAGGAUUAGAAACCCUGGUAGUCC
rnacentral:rRNA from 1 species